CAGCCCUCGCCCCCAGGGGAGUGCCUGGACUCGGAGGGGAAGGACCCGGGGCCCGAGAGGCCCCUGCCCGGCUCUUCAGGUUGCACCUCCUGGCCAGUGGAUGCUGCAGUGCAGGAGGCAGCUGGUGGGGAUUCCUGCUUGGUGCCGAUUCCACCCUGUGACCCUCCUGAGGGGCAGUUCCCGAGAAGAUGCACCAGGCCCCAGGGUAGCCCCAGGGUGCUGCUCAGCCUGGACACCCAGCGCCCCCAGAGCCCUGAAACCGUGUCCCCCGACGUGACUCAGUGCGCGGCCCUCACCAGCGA